ensembl:lncRNA
UAUAUAUAUAUAUAUAUGUGUGUGUGUGUGUGUGUGUGUGUGUGUGUGUGUGGGUGUGUGUGUGUGUGUGUGUGUGGGUGUGUGUGGGUGUAUCAAACUGUAUGUGAUCACUGAUCACAGUGUUGGAGGUACAGCUAAAGGCUCCCACUGCUAAUUGAGCAUUAGCUUGUGUGUUUAGGAAUGUAACAUUGACUUCAGUUAUUUAAUUAUUCAUUGUAAAUCAGUUUACAUUAGUAACUACAGUGAAACUUAUACUACAGGUGAGUUUAUAGAAUGAGAAAAGUAAAAAUGGACCCACUGACAAAUCCUGUGUGUUUAAAGGGCUAAUAAAUUAAUGUGAUAUAUUUAACCAUUUGAACGAUGUUAGUGGUUUUAACGUUUCUCUGGACACCGUCCUUCUAAAGCCUUAAUUAAACUUUAUAAUUGGCUUAGUUAAACCUUUACAACACACAACAAAAUUUACAUAAUGCAAAAUGCUUGAUUGAGAAUUGUUGAUAACAUACUGUGCAGCAACCCUAAAUUUUAGAACAGUGGUUUAAAAAAAUAAAUAAAUAAAUAAAAUAAAAUAACAAAAAAAGGAAAAAAAGUAGCUUUCAGUUAUUUAAGGUGUUUUUGUCUUUUUACAGUUUUUUUUAUUUGCCAGAUGCUUUUAUAAAAAUUAAAUAAAUAACUAAAUAAGGCAGAGCUAAGCAGUUUAGUGUUAAAGCUACUGCUGGUAUUUAAAUUAAAAUUAACUCACUUUCAGGAAGGAAACUUUCAGCCCACCUCACCCAUUUCUCUGUGUUACACAUUGCACUGCAGUUAAUUCAUACAUAAUAUAUUUAAAAUGACCCAAAAUAUAAAACAAAUAAAUCAUUUUCAAUGUGAUAUCAUUAUUAUAUUGUGUAUAAUAUCAUAAAAUAUAGGAUUUCUUGUUCAUCAUUUUGUUUACUCUCCACAUCUGGACCUGCUCUUAUAGAAACUAUUAUAGAAACAAUAAAAAUGAGUUGAAGGAAGCUUAUAUAACUGCUAACCAAUAUAUACCAAACAAUAUAUAGCUUACAUAACCCACCUCUAAUUACGAGGCUGAUAUGCACUACAUCACGUAUAAGGUAGUAAAGCAAGUGGGAGCCAGAAACUGUAGCAUGCAGGAUUGGGUGUGUGUGUGUAUGUGGGUGUGGGUGUGGAUAUGGGUGUGUAUGUGGGUGUGUGGGUGUUUCUCUGUCUGUCUGUCUGUGUGUGAAGACAUUUUUUCUCACUCUUGUCAUCAACUCAACUACAAACCCAUACAACUGUAACCAGCAGCAUAGGAGCCGCCAUGAAAAGAAAAUGACAAAAUCCCCCAAAAAAGAUUCAGAACAAAAAAGUGAAAGUAUUUAAUUCAAGAACUGCAUGUGCUAUGUGCAUGCCAUACCGUGGAACUUCAUCUUCAGGAAUAAAAAAAAAAGAGUAUUAUUGAAAAAUGAUUAUGGAGAAAUGUUUUUAAAAGCAUCAUGUUCCUUUUCUUUCUAUUUUUAAACAAAAUAAAAAAAGACAAAAAAAUCUAAAGAGAUAAAUGACUUUGCAAACUGAAAUUUAUUUAUUCUUUUUUUUUCAAACUUGGAGGUGAGACACUUCAACAAUAUGUUCAGGACACAUUAUAACUUCUGUCAUAAAAAUGAAAUAAAAACAAAUGUGGAAAAACCUUUUGUUAAAUUGGGCAAGGAUAUGUAUUUUACACCCAUACAUCAUUCCUUUGACUCUUUUUUUAUGUUUAAGCUGCUGGACGGAGGAUGGAAGAAAUAACAGAUUAUGUAUGAGAUAGUUUUGAUGGUUUAUACAUUUCUUUUAAUUCAAACUUGACUGCUCUAACAGUAACAUGCUGUGAGUUACUAUUACAUGAUUGUCAGGGCAAAUGACAGCAGUUCUGCAACAUCACAUUUUACAGGUGUUUACUUGCUUCACUCAAUCAUGUUUUUUUUUUUUUUUUUUUAAACCAAAACAAUCUUUAGCUAAUUGUUUAUUAAUGUUUACUGUAAAUAUCCCAAAUGGUGAAAUUUGUGUAAUUAAAAUUUUUCACUAAAAUAUCAGCAAUUAAAUAAAGUCAACAUCUUAGGAUCCGUUUAACAAAGUGGAGUCCACCUCUUAAUGUUGUAAUGUCCUUUUAUCUUACCUAAGUGGCAUGUAUUACCCAUAAUACACAGCAUGUGAUUCUUAACAUGAGAAAUAAAUGAAAGCGUUAGAUAUCUGUGCACCAUUUGGGUUAGGGUAUGCAGUUGAAAACAGACAUGCCAUUCAAAUUAGUUCCCUUAAAAUGCAAACUGCGUUCUUAUUGGAUCUUAAUUUCUAUUUGUACAAUGCAACAUUCAUACUGGUCUGUGCUUCUGCUUGAAAUUUCUGCUGAAGUCAGAUCAGGUUGAGUGACACCUUCCCAGAUUCUGUUCUUUUUUGCUAUAACAUAGUAAAACAGCAAACCAAUUAAUCAAAUAUCAUUUUCAUUUGAAGGUUCUCUUUUCACUGCAGUGAAUUCUGAAAGCUGUCAGUUCAUAUAAAAUAAUUAGCAAUAAUUAAAUUCUUCAUUUACAUCAAUAAAUGAAUGAUCAACAUGUUGCAAACACUGAUGAGGUAAGAGAUGCAUGUUUACCACUCCCUUGUAAUUUCUCAAAAGUCUAAUUUCAGCAAUGUAAUUUGGUUUAGUUAUUAAUCAUAUGGUAUGAUCUCUGAGAAAUUACUUUUUAAGUGACAUUAUGUUCUAGUUCUAUGUUCGUAUAUAUACACGGGUGCAUCUCAGAAAAUUAGAAUAUCAUGGAAAAGUUACUUUUUUCCAUAAUUUAAUUCAAAACAUGGAACUUUCAUAUGUUCU